UAUCUAGUUCUCAUAUGUAUCUUGCUUUUAUCAUGUAUCUUUAAAUCUUGAUUAAGGAACAUUGUAUCUGUUUUUUUUUGUUUUAGGACAUGAAUGUAUGAAAAUGUUCCUAUUUUGAUCAAUGAAGUUUGAAGUUUGUUGUUUAUUGCAUCUUUCCCAUGUAUCUUUUUGAUGAUAACAAAAAGGGAGAGAAGUAAAGAAAGAGUAUUUAUUUAUUUUAGGAAGUAAAGAAAGAGUAUUUAUUUGAGGAGAAGUAAAGAUCUUAGGUGAGAAGUAAAGAUUUUGUGUAGAUUAGAUAAAGCAACAAAAAGGGGGAGCAAUUUGUAACAAUGAAAUUGAUUAAAUCAAAAAAAGGAGAAGUAGAGAAAAAGAAAUAAGAAUUCAUGCAAGAAAAGAGAAAUAAUUGGGCAAACAAAUUAAAAAUCAUAUAAGAAAGCUUAUACAUCUAAGGGGGGAGCAAUUUGUAACAAUGAAAUUGAUUAAAU
rnacentral:lncRNA from 1 species